CAGAAUUACAAUUCUAUAAUGUCUACUUUGUUUCACAGGUGUUCUCAUAUAUAAAAGCAUUUAAAAUAAGAUUUUAUAGAAGAGAAAAACCUGUAGUAGUUAAGAUUUAAGUUUUUUCACUGGUCCUAAUGAUUUAUCUUUGACAGAAUGGUAAUAUCAGUCAUCCAUCACUGAUCUGCACAAUUGAAGGGUUUUGAAAAAAGCCUCGUCUAGAAAUCAGACCUUUUCCACGAUGGCUUUCAGAUGACACUGCAUCAUGUCUUCAGGAAAAGCUGCUGCUGCACGGGAGUGAAGGGGGCACUCUUCAUCUUUUCUUCCUGGCCCACUUGCUUGGUGUGUUCCUGUUUGUCUUGGUCUAGUCCAGUCCAUCACACAUCCUGGCUCAGUUCACUUCCUCACUGCUUCUACUCCAGGGCAAGGAGGCGGAUAGAUUCCUAACUAAGGGAGAAGACUUCCCUGUGAAUUCAGGGAGAGGAUUGCUUUUGGGAUGACUGAAAGUUCAGAUUCAGCGCCGUGGAUUGGACACAGUGAGGUAUAGAAACAGAACGAGAGAAUCACUGUCUUACAAACAAGCAAACAAAAAGCAAAGAAGGAAAAAUAUCUCUCUCAACUGCACCUAUUUCCGUCUGUGUUCUUCUGAACAAGACUAAUGUUGGGAUCUCCAUCCCUCUCAGAAGAGGAGGAAAUCUGAUGGACCAAGCAGUACAGGAUCAGCCUUGAAGCCAUGGAGCCUGUUCAGACCCUGAAUUGUUCUUCUUUCCCAGGCUGAAGAGAUGAUCUGCACUAUCAGCACAUAACCAUCCUCAGCUGAUCUCUAGCAGAUUCAGGCAGCAAUUAUUGCUUAAGACACCAUCUCUUUGAAGAGUAUAUAUUGUACAAAAAUGCAAUAAUGCUCCAUUUCAGAAUAUCUGCUCGCUGCAGUUGUGGAGCUGACUGCUGUAGAGGUGAAAAAAGCCAUUGUUCGUCUUCGUACUUCCUUGUAUUGAAUGAGUCCCUGACACUGAGAGUGAGGUACAGAAAAGUAAUGUGCAAACUUAAAUUGUGUGGGUGAGAGGACCACUCUAAUACAGUCACUGGGUUUUUUCUUUGUGAUUCUUUGAGCGCUUUGUGAUUUCCUUAGCUCUUCACUGCCUUACAUAGACAAUAUUUUAUCAGUAGGGUAACUGAUGCAGAGCCCUUCUAGAGUUAUCCUGACUUACUAAAAAAAAAAAAAAAAAAGGCUGUAACUUUUGUUAAAGAGAAACUCAGCCUGUCCUGAAAUACAUUUUUCUACACCCUUCUAAAUUGUGGCAAGCCUAGUUCAAAGUUACCAGAAUAUGGCAUUCUUACUUGUACUGAGUAGACUUUUUUCUUUUUUUAAUGUUAAAAAUUCUAUAAUUACUUUUUUUUUUCCUUGGGGACUUAUAAUGCUAAUAUUUGAAGUGAGGUACCAUUUAUCUAGAUAGUGACUGCAACAGUAACAUUGUUCAUUAGAAUAAGAUGGACUGACUUACAGCUCUUGCUGUCUUUUUUUAUUCUCAUGAGCUUGUAACACCAUGCUGAAGAUGAAAAGUGAAACUCUUGGGAUAAGAAAAGCGCUUUUCUGGUUGGUUUUGUUUGUUUGUUUGUUUGUUUGUUUGUUUGUUUGUUUUCCCUUUCAAGGAACACAGGACACUCAAGGAAAAUGUACAGGAGUUGAAUGUUCUGUACAAUUUCUUAGAAAACUAUUUGUGUGGCUCCAAAAAAGGACUCUUUGAUGGGUCACUUCCUCAUAACUAAGCAACACUGUGCUAUAGAAAGCACAUGUCAAAGGAUUUCUUCUUAGCCAGAUCCUCCUCUGCUUGUCCACUGCUCCACUUGUAGAUCUUCUUGUCUCUAAAAAGUGGUAGCAAGUCUAAUAGGUUCACACUUCAGGCUUGACACAACUCAAUCUUUGUCCAUCACAAGAUGAAAAAUAAUUGAACCAAGGCUUCCUGGCAUCUGACUAGAGACAUGGAGUAUUCAGAAUGUCUCAGCAAAUUUAAAGUUUUUGGUUCUUCACUAACUAAACCCUUUACUUUAUAUGUAUUAAGUCAAAAUGUAAAAAACCCCGAACCAAACAACUACUAACAACAACAAAAAAAAAAAAAAAAAAAAAAACACAAAAAAAAAGAUUCCAACAAAAACCCCCAAACCCUUAAUUUGUAGAUGGUAGUAUUUGUAUUCCUUUGAAAAAUCUCUUAACAGCAUCAGGCAAUCCAACUCCUCUAGUUUUUUGCAAGAAAAAAAAUAAUAGAAUAUUUAAUAUAUUUAAAUUUCAUAUAAUAGAAAAUUUGCCUUGCCUUGCCUCAUUGUUUUUUGGUUGGCUGGUUAGUUUUGUCUUGGCCUUUCUGUGCUCAUGGUAUUUUCCUCCUUAAUCAUCCUUCAAUUUGGGAUUGGAACUCAAUCCCCACACUAGGUUCAGAAUUUUGCUGAAUUAAUCUGUUGUUGCUUGAAUCCCUGAAGUGGGUUCUAUUUUAUUAUGGAAUGCUUAGGAAUUACUGAAACUUCUGAGACUGUUAAUGAGAAGCUGGUAGUCCAAUGAUUAAUUAAUAUAUUGUAGUCUCUUUUACUUGGUUUUAGUUCUGUACCAUUGCCUGGGGGGACAUAUCUCUUAGGUUGUCUGGCAGCAGCCUCAUUAUUAACAGAACUGGGCCAUAACUUCUUCAAAUAAAAUAUUUUCAUUGAUUUUAAAAGAGAAAUUUUAACUUUGAACACUCUAUUUAGUUUCAUAGCUGUCUUUUUGUGUCAUUGUUGUAACACUGGGACUAUGAGGUCUGCUCUACAAGGUCACACCACUUCGUGCUGUGCAUCAUUAGGACUUGCAGGUCAAGCACACUUGGGUCAGGAGCUACACUCAAAAACAACAGCAAAUACUGAAGUUUAAGUGGAUGGCAUUAGUCCACAGAGGUCAGAGUAAAAGUACCCAAUGUCAUUUUGAUUCAGGAGGGAGCAUCUUUCUGAUACCUUUCAUACAAAAACCCAAACAAUUCCAAUAUUUAACUUGCAGUCACGAGAGUUUAGGACCACAGACUCCUUCAGAUGUGCAGCUUACACCCAGAUCUUCUUAAAAUCAAGAAGAAAAAGGACACGCAGAUAAGGGCCAGUGAGUAAUUUUAAAAAGGCAGUCAAAACGUUCAAGAUUACCUGUUGGUGUCUGUUGGGCUGGUGGAAGAGCAAUAUAUAUUCUACAUAACUACAUUAAUUCAAUAAACUUUGCAUUUCUGAAGGGUGUGUAAAUUGCUGUAGGUUAUUCAGAGAUUUGGGGUUAUUUCCUCUGUUUUAUCAGUUCUUAAUUUUCCCCUUACUUAUUUUCGCACUAAUUUUUGUCUCUGAUAUUUCACAUUAGGAGGUCUUUGUCUUCACUGUUAUUGACUUUUGGAAUCAUUUGUUCCCUGUAGUGUAAACUGCACUUAUGGUAAUGCACAUCAUUCCUCCUAUAAUAUGGAGAAAUUAAAUCAAAUAUACCAGGAUAUUCUUGUAUUGGAUAUUUGCACUCAGACAUUUAAGAAAGAAAGUGAAGGCCAAGUUGAAAGAUCUUUAGUGACUUGACCCAGAAGCUUCUGACAUAGGUGCCCCACAGCUCAGUGUGUGUGCCUUUGCUGCAUAAAAAUGGAUCAGCAGUCAGAGGCAUCAAAGACUGGCUUUGACCCAUUCCUCUAUAAACAGUUAUUUCUCACUAGGUUAUUGCAGGUCACUCAUAUUAUAAUUUGAAUUUCAAAUUUCUAUGAUCUAAAAAUGAUCUACAGACCUGUAUGAUCUACAGAAUCAAUGGAUAUUAUGGACAUGUUUAAUAAAGGAAAAAUUGUAUCAGUACUUGGAAAAUUAUGAAAAUAUCAGUUUCCUGCACAGAUCUAAGAUUUAUUGUUUCUACUAAUGUCUGUAUAAAGAGAAUACAUAUAUAUAUAUGAUUUCUCCAAUGACUUUCGAACUGUUUUGCUGAAUUUCACAUGGAGAUAAAGGACAUAGAUACACAACUGUCUAACAGGUUUGAAGUUGAAAAGUUGACUAGGAAAAAAAAGAGGGGGGACCAGUAAGGGACAGACUAACAGGAUCACAUCCUCAAUUGCACUAGACAGACCACCUCUGAAAUAAGUGUUUUGGCUGCUUCAGCCAAGGGAAAAGGAUUGGUCAGAGCUUAGUUUGUUAGCAAAUUCAGCUAUAACUCAUCUUUAAUAAAUCAGGCUUUGCUUCUUCUACUGGUCUCAGAACUGUUUGUAAUAUGUUUAUUUUAGGGUCCUGUGCCUGCCAUAAAUCUGAGGCUGUUUAUCAAGCAGUGACAGUGAUGUAUUGGUAUGACUAUAUUGGUUCCCAGAAGUGGGACUGUAGACAUGCUGAACAAACAGAGUUCAUGUUUCUCUUUUGGUUUUUUUUUUAAAAAAAAAAAGGAUCACCUAUCAUCACAUUCAUCUGUGGCCGGAGUCCAUGAGUGGGGUUUACUUAAUUUUUGCUGCGUGAAUUUCAAUUAGUGUGCUUCAGUUUAUUUUUUUUCCCCCUGAUGAUGUAACUUAAACAAUAUAAAUUUUUUCUCAACAACAUGGGACUGGACUGGAUCUCCUGGGCUGACUCUAAAAGAAGCCUUUUCCUUUCAAGAUUUUUUUCUCUGUUUCAGCAGAAGUAGGAGAGUCUUUUCCAAGAAUAAAAGUAAGGGAAUUGGAGCAGGGCAGAGAAGGGUAAGGUGCCUGGGCAGGAAGAAGAGAAAAUAAAAGACCUGAGGAGUGGCUGAGACCUGAGGAUGUUGAACAGCCUGCACCCAGAGGACCAGAGGACAAGGGCAUACAUUUGUUUCUCUGAUGCCAGAGAACACUUGCAAAGGCCACUAUCCAACCACAUUUCUUAGGUCAUACGGGAUAGAGACACAUGGUUACUUUUUAGCCAGGGUGGUUUUAUAUCAAGGUGGCCUCUGUACGAUGAUGCUUCAAUUCUGUGUGCCCUGAUACUGAUUUUUGAAGACAGCCUGAAUUUUGGAUUUGAAUAGCUGACUUUGUACACCUAACCUUAUUGUCUUAACAUAAUAUGUGUGAGUUAAUAGAGAUAUAAGAUUAAGGGAAAAAAUGCCAAAAACCAAAGCCUAAGUAUAAACAAUGCAGCUGGCAUGAACUUCAAACUAAGAGAGAGACAGGGCUUUUGCUACCUGCUCGUUUCCUUCUUCCCUAUCCACAGCCACAUAAAAUGUGAGUUUUUCCUUAACUGGUGUAGGUUUCCUUUGCUGGCAAGGCUAAUGGAGAAUGGAAACUCAAGGGCAGCUUUUUUUGUUGCACCUGCUGUGUAAAUAGACCAACAGCUUAAAUAUGGUCAAAGAAAGGCUUUUCAUCCACCAUGAUGAUUUAUUAAACUGUGAAAUGUGGGAUUGGAUAAAAGGAGGAGCAGAAACAGUUAUGAAUGCUGCUUCUAUUUUGAUAGUGAUGCUCUCAAGUAAGGCUAAGACAUGGAGGUUUUGAGCUCUACAGUGAGAAAACUUGGUCUGAAACAAUUUUACAUCUCCUUCUCCAGAUCCCUUUACAUCCUUCCUUGUCUGUGCUAGCACACACUCUCUGAUCUCCAUUCAAGUUAUAAGCACACAGAUUGCUAAAGCCAUCUUUUUUUCCCUUUUGACCUGAUUAUGACACUUCCAGCUUUGAAACAUUAUUUAUGCUGUCUUCUCUCCAUUCUUUUCUUCUCUGUGCCAUCUCCUUCAAAGACCCACACAAUUCUUUUUCCUUAUUUAAUCCUUCUGACAUGCUUCCAAAUGCCCUUAGUCCUUUGCAAGUGCUUCCCAGUCUUUUCUGACAGCUUAGAUGAGAGUUGGCUCAUAUAGUUCCUAUUAUUUGCAAAAUUUUUCACAGUGUUUGGAGAUGAGGUCUGUCUGAGAGAGAAAAUGUCUUUUAAUCACUUCUGGAAGGUUUUUCUAAAGCUUCCUGUGAACCUCUUUGAUUCACAACAAGGAAAAUAUGGAAAUGAAAUGGGAACAUGAGUGAGUUCUUAUGCUGUAUUGUGGAAAGGCUGGGUAGCAGCCUGUUGGAGAGAGAUGGAGUCCUGAAAUCCACACAAACAUUGCCUUUGGCUGGAAUGUGUCCUUUGAGGUUUGUCUAUCAUUGGCAUAAAAUCUGUUUUAAACAAUCAAAUGCCAAAAUUACCAUCCCACACUUACCUGGAUCUCAUGCUGACCGUCUAGGGGAAAAGUUUCUCCUAAUGUGAAAACAAAGCAUGGUUAAUAAUGAUGAUACUUGAGAAAAAGAAUAUGGUCAGAUACCAAGUAAAACUGAGAUAGCCGUUUCUUCCAGAAACUCCUUUCUUUCAAACCAUUAGGUGCAGUGUGGAUGCAGUGGUGUUAAAUCUUCUAAUAUAAUGGAGAAUUAAAAAAAAAAAAAAAUCAAAAACAGGGAGAAAAGUUUUUUGAACAGGAAUUGAAGUUUGUCUGUGCAUCACCACGGCUUUUCCUCUUUCUGCUGGCCAAACAUGAAGUGCAGGGCUUUAAGGGACCAGUUUCACAGGCACACACGUGGUGAGGCAGAAGGUGUGUCCCUCAGUCACUGAGCUGCAGCCCAGCGCCUUCACUCCAGGUUAUAUCACACCUGACUGAGUUCCCUUGUGACUCUGCAGGGAAGACAAAUGUUUAUGGGAUCACAGCAAGCUGAGCUCCCCAGACACACAUCCUCUCAAAGUGUGCCUGCUUCUAUAAAGUCAGAAAGCUGUGAUUAAUAGGAAUAGCACCAGACUUUAAGGUGCACUUUAUUUCAUUGAUGAACUUUGAGGUGUCUCCUGCAGUAACAGUUUUGUAAACUGUAAUCGUUAACAUCGCUUAUUCGGGAUUUACCGGAGUGACUAACGAUGUCUAUUUUUUCAGGCUGCUACAGGGAUAAAUAACUGAUGUUGAAGAAGCAAAUCAGGAUCUCUGUGGAAAAAAAUAAGAAAAGAAAAAAAAUAAUUGUGUGUGGGUUUUGGAACCAGCAAAUCAUUUUUCUGAGGUGCCUGUAAAAGUACAUGGUGUGAUGUGACUGUUUUAUAAAAGAGGGAAGGAUGAUGUGUGGGCUCCAUUACAUAAUAUUAUUGCAGAGCUUGAACGGUGAAGGGGCACAAUGAAAAAGGGAUAUCAUGGAAAUCAAUUUGCAAAAAUUAAAGUGUUUGUUCAAAACCUCCUCCGUAACAGGAUUAACAGCCAAGGAAAUUAAAAAUUAUGUAAGAGGAAUAGCUGAAGAGAUAAUCCAGGAUGAUCCAAAGGAUUUUGCAGAGAUCUCUGCAAUGUUAGCAAUCUUGUCAUUAAAUCUAACAAUUUAAUGAGAUACAUUCUUCAUUGGUACAAGUACAGUUCCAUGUACAUACUUAAUGCGUUUUUUAUUUUGACAUAGAUCUAAGCCCGAUACACUUGUUUUAGAGUAGCAUAUUGGGCAUCAGUACACGUAUAUUUAGCAGUGCACUCCUGUUGAAGACAGUAUAUCUGUGAUGAUUAAAAAGCCCAGGAUGUGGCUCAUAAACCAUUACUUUCGGGGAUGUCUGAAACAAGUGCUUGAAAUCCUGCUUCAUACCCACAGUGAUGUAUAGCACCAGCUUGUAUCUGCAAUUUCAUCUCUCUCUUGGUGUUUGGUGCUGUCAGGCAUUUUGACACAUUCUACUUUUAUUGGCUGAAAAAUAAUGUAAUAGUAAAUAAGAAUAGAAUGAGGCAGUUGCCUUCACAAAAAAAAAACACUUUAGGAAAGGUGUUGCGAUUUCCUUGAUGAUGAUUAAAUUGUGCCUCUUGAAUUUGCAUGAAUAUCCUUGUGAAGCUACAUGACUGUUUAUAUGAAUGCAGUGAAGACAAUUUGGGACCAUCUGCGUCUCACAGGUCACACCAGGGGCAGCAUGUGACAAGAGCUGACUCUUGGCCAGUUUCUUAUGUGCUCUGUUACUGUAAGUCUGCUGCAGUAGGAAUGUGUUACAAAAGUCAAUGAGUGAUUGCUGCCCUUCCCUCUUCUGCCUUUUGCUCUCUUUUUAUUCUUUACUGCUCCUGGAGCUUUCUUGAAGCAAAUUGAGUGCUGCCCUUAGCAACUCUCCUUGAAGUUUGUUGCUCCAAUCAAUCUCUUCUUCCCAUGAAUAAUCCCAACUUUAUUUCCUAAAUUAUUAAUUUUUCUUUCACUUUGGGCUUCCCUUGCUUCAGCCAGCUCUUUUUGCAACACAGCACACGUCUCUUCCUCUGAAUGUGAAGUGUGCAGAUCAACUCAGUGUUUUAUAAUGUCCUAAUUACUGUACUCACAGGUUACUGGGGUAUAGCAGUAUGCCAGAGGGUCAAUGAACCUUUUAAGUUAAAUGAGGAGAUGUAUCUUCAUGGGACCUCAUUAGAAGGUGAAGUUAAUAAAGACAGAAGGGAAAAGAGCCAGUAAGAAAGGCAGAUACCUUCAAAAGCUGUCAAAAGAUGUUGUCUAUUGAGCUCUAUUGAGCUCUUUUUUGGGACUAGCUGGGCUUUGCCAAGAGGUGUAGUGUGAGGAUCUUUGUGAGAGCCUGAUGAUGGGGGCUGGAUGUUCCCAAGGGGCAGUUCCCUGGGGAAGCCAAGGAUCUACACCUGCACAUCCUUGUGACACAUCCCAACAGGAGAGACAGGAGCCAGAGGAACAGCAAGGAGAUUAAAUUACUGCUUCCAUGGUGUUGGGAGGCUAAGCAGAGCAUGGGGAAGCAGUAGAAACAGUUUCCUGAUGUUUGCUGCUUUAACACCACCCCAGAACCAUGUGCCAGAGAAGGGGAGGUUACUGGAAGCAGAGACAACUUCCAGGGCAAAUAAAUCGGAAAAGCUCCUGUUGGAGAGCACAGAGACUGUUAGGCCAUACAUAAUGGGACCCCUACAUUUUUAUUGAGACAUUCUGUUGGGAUUUUGAGGUAUUAUUCUGGAGCACUGGAAGAAAAUAACUGCUCCAAGACCCAAUAUUUCUGAAUCAUUCAGUUACAGUGUUGCUUUUAAAAAUAGCACAUGGAAUGGAAAUGGAUGUUUUCUCUCCCCACACAGCCCUGGGCAGAAAAAAUCAUGGUGAAUUUGGAAUGGUGUUUGUUGACACCACUGAAUUGUAUUUGAAAAA